rnacentral:lncRNA from 1 species
UGUCUUGUUAGAUUAAUCCAAAAAUUUUCAUUCACUCCGCAUACUCAAUCCUAUAGACACCCUUUUAAUUCUUCAAUCACAGACGUAACUUCGAUUUUACAAAACAGUCAAGAGUAAUCACACCCACUUCAUUAAAAUCCUGAUUCACCAAUACAACACUCACUUCAGCAACGAUUGCCUCAGUCUUCUCAAAACCCUAUGAAGAAAAAAAACCCCAAUUCUCUGUCUUUUUUCCCCACCCCAAAGCAUGAAGCUCUCUCCGACCCCUUCAAAACCUUUAUUCUCUCUCCCUUCCAUU